rnacentral:rRNA from 1 species
UACAGAGGGGGCAAGCGUUGUUCGGAAUUACUGGGCGUAAAGGGCGCGUAGGCGGCCUUCUAAGUCGAACGUGAAAUCCCCGGGCUCAACCCGGGAACUGCGUCCGAUACUGGAAGGCUUGAAUCCGGGAGAGGGAUGCGGAAUUCCAGGUGUAGCGGUGAAAUGCGUAGAUAUCUGGAGGAACACCGGUGGCGAAGGCGGCAUCCUGGACCGGUAUUGACGCUGAGGCGCGAAAGCUAGGGGAGCAAAGCGGG